rnacentral:tRNA from 1 species
GCCUAGGUGGCUCAUGUGGUUGAGUGUCUGCCUUCGGCUCAGGUCAUGAUCCCAGGGUUGUGGGAUCAAGUCCCACACUGGGCU